rnacentral:lncRNA from 1 species
GGUGGAGAGCUCACUGUGGGCUAUGGGAUACAAGACUCAGUUCUGCUAUUAAAGCUUGAGCACUCCUCAGGCUGCUGGUAUUUCUGUCAAUGAAAGCACGGGCUGGGUUAUCUCUGAAUAGGCAGGUGGGCAUGAACCUCUGCCUCCAGUGUGGAUAUACGUGCUCACAGACAUGCCUCUCCAUCUCCAUUGUUCGUUUCAUGGUGUAUGUGCCUGAAAAGACAAUCAUAUUCCCAACCGAUAUGAGAGCAUUUUGAAAUAAUAUCACAUGAUGCUGAGAAAUCUGGGGAAAUGGCCUCACCACUAAACAAGGUAUUGAUUUUACCUUGUUUAUAAACCCACCCUGCCAGGCAGCCAUAAUGCCAAUUGCAGAGCUCUGGUCACACAAGAUCUUAUGCCUCUGAACCUCCAAAUAUUACAACUGGUUCCACUUUUAUUCAUUCUAUUCUCACCCAAGAACACUUUGAUUAUAAUAGUGGUCUCAAUUUCCUCCAGAAACAAAACCAUAAGAUUCUUAUCAUAUGGUCGUGAAAAUCCAGUCUCCAUAAAAGAUGAUCAGUGUAAUUUCAUUCAAUGUUAGCCUUUGGUUUUGUAUCAAUUUAUUUAUUCAUGAAAGCUUCAUCAAAGAAAACAGAAGUUUAAACCUAACAUCCACUGAUCUACAGAAAGCCCAAGGAAUGGGGGAAAUGGUAGCUAAUUUGACUGUGGUACAGAUGAAAAAAUUAAAAAUAAAACCAGAAACACCAUAGAAUUACAGAACUUUCCAUGACAGAGACAGCGGUGCAA